rnacentral:rRNA from 1 species
GACGAACGCUGGCGGCGCGCCUAACACAUGCAAGUCGAGCGGAGCAAAGAUUUCGGUUUUUGCUUAGCGGCGGACGGGUGAGUAACGCGUGAGUAACCUGCCCUUCAGCGGGGGAUAGCGUCUGGAAACGGACGAUAAUACCGCAUAACGUGUAUUUGUGACAUCACAGAUACACCAAAGGAUUUAUUCACUGAAGGAUGGACUCGCGUCCGAUUAGGUAGUUGGUGAGGUAACGGCCCACCAAGCCCACGAUCGGUAGCCGGACUGAGAGGUCGAUCGGCCACAUUGGGACUGAGACACGGCCCAGACUCCUACGGGAGGCAG